UAGGGAAUCUUGGACAAUGGGCGAAAGCCUGAUCCAGCCAUGCCGCGUGUGUGAUGAAGGCCUUAGGGUUGUAAAGCACUUUCGGACGGAACGAAAUCGCGCGAGUUAAUAGCCCGCGUGGAUGACGGUACCGUAAGAAGAAGCACCGGCUAACUACGUGCCAGCAGCCGCGGUAAUACGUAGGGUGCGAGCGUUAAUCGGAAUUACUGGGCGUAAAGGGUGCGCAGGCGGCCCCGCAAGUCAGGCGUGAAAUCCCCGAGCUCAACUUGGGAAUGGCGCUUGAAACUACGGGGCUGGAGUGUGGCAGAGGGAGGUGGAAUUCCACGUGUAGCGGUGAAAUGCGUAGAUAUGUGGAGGAACACCAGUGGCGUAAGCGGCUGUCUGGCUCGAUAUUGACGCUGAGGUACGAAAGCGUGGGGAUCAAACAGGAUUAGAUACCCUGGUAGUCCACGCCGUAAACGAUGUGUGCUUGUCGCUGGGAGGUUUACCUUUCGGUGACGGAGCUAACGCGUUAAGCACACCGCCUGGGAAAGUACGGUCGCAAGAUUA
rnacentral:rRNA from 1 species